UACAGAGGGUGCAAGCGUUAAUCGGAAUGACUGGGCGUAAAGGGCACGUAGGCGGAUAGAUGUGUCAUAGGUGAAAUCCCCGGGCUCAACCUGGGAACUGCCUGUGAAACUGUGUAUCUAGAAUAGAGUAGAGGUAAGUGGAAUUUCCGGUGUAGCGGUGAAAUGCGUAGAUAUCGGAAAGAACACCAGUGGCGAAGGCGACUUACUGGACUCAUAUUGACGCUGAGGUGCGAAAGCGUGGGGAGCAAAC
rnacentral:rRNA from 1 species